rnacentral:rRNA from 2 species
UGUUAGAUGCGGUGCUAUACAUGCAGUCGAGCGGACAGAAGGGAGCUUGCUCCCGGAUGUUAGCGGCGGACGGGUGAGUAACACGUGGGUAACCUGCCUGUAAGACUGGGAUAACUCCGGGAAACCGGAGCUAAUACCGGAUAGUUCCUUGAACCGCAUGGUUCAAGGAUGAAAGACGGUUUCGGCUGUCACUUACAGAUGGACCCGCGGCGCAUUAGCUAGUUGGUGGGGUAAUGGCUCACCAAGGCGACGAUGCGUAGCCGACCUGAGAGGGUGAUCGGCCACACUGGGACUGAGACACGGCCCAGACUCCUACGGGAGGCAGCAGUAGGGAAUCUUCCGCAAUGGACGAAAGUCUGACGGAGCAACGCCGCGUGAGUGAUGAAGGUUUUCGGAUCGUAAAGCUCUGUUGUUAGGGAAGAACAAGUGCGAGAGUAACUGCUCGCACCUUGACGGUACCUAACCAGAAAGCCACGGCUAACUACGUGCCAGCAGCCGCGGUAAUACGUAGGUGGCAAGCGUUGUCCGGAAUUAUUGGGCGUAAAGGGCUCGCAGGCGGUUUCUUAAGUCUGAUGUGAAAGCCCCCGGCUCAACCGGGGAGGGUCAUUGGAAACUGGGAAACUUGAGUGCAGAAGAGGAGAGUGGAAUUCCACGUGUAGCGGUGAAAUGCGUAGAGAUGUGGAGGAACACCAGUGGCGAAGGCGACUCUCUGGUCUGUAACUGACGCUGAGGAGCGAAAGCGUGGGGAGCGAACAGGAUUAGAUACCCUGGUAGUCCACGCCGUAAACGAUGAGUGCUAAGUGUUAGGGGGUUUCCGCCCCUUAGUGCUGCAGCUAACGCAUUAAGCACUCCGCCUGGGGAGUACGGUCGCAAGACUGAAACUCAAAGGAAUUGACGGGGGC